rnacentral:rRNA from 1 species
AGAGUUUGAUCCUGGCUCAGGAUGAACGCUAGCGACAGGCCUAACACAUGCAAGUCGAGGGGCAACAUGGUAUCAGCUUGCUGAUACCGAUGGCGACCGGCGCACGGGUGAGUAACGCGUAUGUAAUCUACCUGUAACAGAGGGAUAACCCGGAGAAAUCCGGACUAAUACCUCAUAGCACAUAUUAUUCGCAUGAAUUUUAUGUUAAAGAGACUCGGUUACAGAUGAACAUGCGUUCCAUUAGCUGGUUGGCGGGGUCACGGCCCACCAAGGCAACGAUGGAUAGGGGUUCUGAGAGGAAGGUCCCCCACACUGGUACUGAGACACGGACCAGACUCCUACGGGAGGCAGCAGUGAGGAAUAUUGGUCAAUGGGCGGAAGCCUGAACCAGCCAAGUCGCGUGGAGGAAGACGGCCCUACGGGUUGUAAACUCCUUUUACCUGGGAAUAACGGGCGCUACGCGUAGCGCUGUGCAAGUACCGGGAGAAUAAGCAUCGGCUAAUUCCGUGCCAGCAGCCGCGGUAAUACGGAAGAUGCGAGCGUUAUCCGGAUUUAUUGGGUUUAAAGGGUGCGUAGGCGGAAGAAUAAGUCAGCGGUGAAAUGCUUCAGCUCAACUGGAGAAUUGCCGAUGAAACUGUUUUUCUAGAGUAUAAAAGAGGUAUGCGGAAUGCGUGGUGUAGCGGUGAAAUGCAUAGAUAUCACGCAGAACCCCGAUUGCGAAGGCAGCAUACUGGGCUAUAACUGACGCUGAAGCACGAAAGCGUGGGUAUCGAACAGGAUUAGAUACCCUGGUAGUCCACGCCGUAAACGAUGAAUACUAACUGUUUGCGAUAUAAUGUAAGCGGUACAGCGAAAGCGUUAAGUAUUCCACCUGGGGAGUACGCCGGCAACGGUGAAACUCAAAGGAAUUGACGGGGGCCCGCACAAGCGGAGGAACAUGUGGUUUAA